UGCGUAGGCGGGUUUCUAAGUCAAAGGUGAAAGCCUGGAGCUCAACUCCAGAACUGCCUUUGAUACUGGAAGUCUUGAGUUCGGGAGAGGUGAGUGGAACUGCGAGUGUAGAGGUGAAAUUCGUAGAUAUUCGCAAGAACACCAGUGGCGAAGGCGGCUCACUGGCCCGAUACUGACGCUGAGGCACGAAAGCGUGGGAGCAAACA
rnacentral:rRNA from 1 species